rnacentral:rRNA from 1 species
ACCCGCUGACUUAAGCAUAUCAAUAAGCGGAGGAAAAGAAACUAACAAGGAUUCCCUAGUAACUGCGAGUGAAGCGGGAAAAGCUCAAAUUUAAAAUCUGGCGGUCUUUGGCUGUCCGAGUUGUAGUCUGGAGAAGCGUUUUCCGCGCUGGACCGUGUACAAGUCCCUUGGAAUAGGGCGUCAUAGAGGGUGAGAAUCCCGUCUUUGACACGGACUACCAGUGCUUUGUGAUGCGCUCUCAAAGAGUCGAGUUGUUUGGGAAUGCAGCUCAAAAUGGGUGGUAAAUUCCAUCUAAAGCUAAAUAUUGGCGAGAGACCGAUAGCGAACAAGUACCGUGAGGGAAAGAUGAAAAGCACUUUGGAAAGAGAGUUAAACAGUACGUGAAAUUGCUAAAAGGGAAACGCUUGAAGUCAGUCGCGUUAUGCAGAACUCAGCCUGGCUUUUGCUUGGUGUAUUUUCUGUAUGACGGGCCAGCAUCAAUUUUGGCCGCUGGAAAAAGGCCUCAGAAAUGUGGCACCUUCGGGUGUGUUAUAGUCUGAGGUCAUAUACAGCGGCUGGGAUUGAGGUCUGCAGCACGCCUUUAUGGCUGGGGUUCGCCCACAUUCGUGCUUAGGAUGCUGGCGUAAUGGCUUUAAACGACCCGUCUUGAAACACGGACCAAGGAGUCUAACAUGCCUGCGAGUGUUUGGGUGGAAAACCCGAGCGCGCAAUGAAAGUGAAAGUUGAGAUCCCUGUCGUGGGGAGCAUCGACGCCCGGACCAGACCUUUUGUGACGGAUCUGCGGUAGAGCAUGUAUGUUGGGACCCGAAAGAUGGUGAACUAUGCCUGAAUAGGGUGAAGCCAGAGGAAACUCUGGUGGAGGCUCGUAGCGAUUCUGACGUGCAAAUCGAUCGUCAAAUUUGGGUAUAGGGGCGAAAGACUAAUCGAACCAUCUAGUAGCUGGUUCCUGCCGAAGUUUCCCUCAGGAUA